rnacentral:rRNA from 1 species
AGUGAACGCUGGCGGUAGGCCUAACACAUGCAAGUCGAACGGCAGCACAGUAAGAGCUUGCUCUUACGGGUGGCGAGUGGCGGACGGGUGAGGAAUACAUCGGAAUCUACUUUUUCGUGGGGGAUAACGUAGGGAAACUUACGCUAAUACCGCAUACGACCUACGGGUGAAAGCAGGGGAUCUUCGGACCUUGCGCGAUUGAAUGAGCCGAUGUCGGAUUAGCUAGUUGGCGGGGUAAAGGCCCACCAAGGCGACGAUCCGUAGCUGGUCUGAGAGGAUGAUCAGCCACACUGGGACUGAGACACGGUCCAGACUCCUGCGGGAGGCAGCAGUGGGGAAUAUUGGACAAUGGGCGCAAGCCUGAUCCAGCCAUACCGCGUGGGUGAAGAAGGCCUUCGGGUUGUAAAGCCCUUUUGUUGGGAAAGAAAAGCAGCAGGUUAAUACCCCGCUGUUCUGACGGUACCCAAAGAAUAAGCACCGGCUAACUUCGUG